rnacentral:lncRNA from 1 species
UUCCUUCACCAAUAUGGCGUAGUUGCACUUCGACACUACGUCAUUUCAACUCUUCUAACCCGUUAAACGACCCCUCCCCUGUUCUCAGUAAUCCCAUUUACCUUACUAAUCUAAAACUUAAAUCGUUUUCUCUCCGAAAUCACCUCCCUACCUCCUCUGUAUCUCCGCCGCCCGUAAAUCGUGUUACAGCGGGGAGCACCUCCUAAUGCCUCCAAAUUUUAACCUUCCAAUCCCCAUCAUCUUCCGUCCAUAUCCUGUUGUUAUUUUCUCCAAAGACCACUCAAUUUUGCUGAAUUGUAGAUCCAAGAAUAAAUAUUCAAGCUCUUUUCUUUUUGCCCUAAUUUUCUAGAUUAAAUCCUCGAUUCAUAAUGAAACAUGUUUGAGUUCAAUAUUUUUUUUCCAGCGCAAAUGUUCGUUUAAAUGCCCUAUAUUCACAAAUUGGCCAGAUUCCGGGCGAUUGAUCACUGAACGUCCAAAUUCCCUUGAGCCUCUGCCUCAUCUCUUCUUUGGCAUGUGGUGAGGAUUGUUGCAUGAAACAUUAGAUGUGGAAGAGAGUCCAGCUAGUAUUCAUGUUGAAUUUCACCAUUUGGCCGAGAUUCUUGCCCUCCAGAGUUCGAGUUGAUUUGCCGCUGUUUCUCAGGGAUAUCAAGGCUUUGUAUAAUUUAAUUGGUAUAUACUCUUCUCCCUUUCUGUGAUUCUACUUAGUUGUCAUAUGUCAUAAGCUCGAAUCUAACAUGCCUCAGCACACGAAUUGGAAUUUCUUGUGUCGUUGUUAAUUAAUUAGUUGGCUAGCUAUUUUAAUUUUGCAUGUUUCGAUAGUGCUAUCUUAGUCCUCAUGUUUUGGAUGCCAUUUUCUCUGAUUGAUUGGUUUGGUUUAGAUUUGGGUUUGUUGUGUACAACAGGUAGGCCCACUAGACCAGGGAUUUGGUCAAAAAGGGUCCAAGAUCUUUUUGGACAUGUUUGGUGGCCUAAGUCUACUAUUAAAAAGUUAAUAAAAAAAAGAGGAUGGAAGGUUAAAUAUAGGGAUUUAACCUAGGAAAACUUUGAUAAAUAUCUUGGAAGGUUAUAGGAAAAGGGGAGAAUGGGGUAAUUAAACAUUGCGGAUCCAAGUGAACAAAGAGAGGUGAGAUUGAAUUAAGAAAAUCUGAUUUUGUUGUCCUAAAUCCCUUCUAUAAAAGGCUCUCUUGCCAAUGAUUAGGACACACAAAAAGGAAAGAAGAAAAAAAAAAGAUUUUCUUAAGAAAUUUUAGUUUCUUUCUGUUUUCUGGGUUAUUGGCCGAGGGUUUCAGGGAUUAGAACAAGUUUUUCUGGGUUGACUCACAGCUGGUCCUAUUUGCGUUCAGCUAGAAGCUGCAGUAUUUGGUUCUCUAGGCUUUUUCUACUGCUGACCUAUUGUAGGAUCAUUCAGUAGCUGAUUUCUUUGAUCUUUGUCCAGAAAAGUUCAGUUUUUGCUUUCAAGCUUAGGUACACAUUUAUCACUUAUACUCUAUGUUGGAUUUGUGUGAAAUAUAGACUGUUGCUGCAUUUUGAUAAGCUUGUUGCCUGUUGGUUUUUGAACAUAACUUGGAUGUUUGGAUUUGACAUAGCAAUUACAUGAAGUUUAGUUAUAGAUGGAAUGUGUUUUAGCAAUGAUUUUUGGUUAUAAUAUUUUACAUUUCACCUAUUUCCAUUAGAAUUCAUCAUGUGUAUUGUACAUAUGAUCAUAUGUUGCUUAAUUUGAGUAUAAAUAGUUGAAGCUCAAUUUUUUUCCUUCUUCUUUGGUUUCUGAUGAAUUAAAGUCUAAUGCUGGAUUUGAGAGUCAAUAACUGUGGAUCUGGACACAAGUUGGUUUGAGUUGUAGUUUUAAUGGCUUACUUCACAUGUUAUUUCUUAAUUCUAAUCAUAGACAUUUUCCCAUAAUAAUUGGUUUAGGUAUGGGCUUCAAAUUUGAACAGGUUUUGCCUGAAUGAUGGUUAAGCUAUUGUUUGGUUUUGAAGCAUACAAGGCUGUUAUCUUAGUCUAUAGUUUAAUAGUUAGAUUCAUUAAUAAACUGCUUUUGAGAGCACUUGAUUGUUUUAAAUUUUAAAAUGGCCACUGAUUCUUGUUCUAGCCUUGAUUAAUGGGAUUCGAAAUUAAGGUUGUAUUUAAUUAUUAUGUAAAAAUAUCCUUUUUGAACAAUCGCUAGUCGUUGCUCAGUUAUAAGAAUGUUCUUUAGAGUCCAUGGAAUUUUGGGCUCGGACUCAGCAACUCCAAUGGGCUUUGUUACAGUGAUGCAGAAAGCCCAUUUAGCUGGGUUAUCUGGGUUGCAGUUCUGGACCCAAUAAACGUGCCUAUAAUUUAAAUAGUAACAGAUUCACAAAUGAGUCAUCAGCCGAUAAGUGAAGAGAGUGACGCAUGCCAAUACAAUAGCCAAAUCUUUAAAGUAGCCCAUUCUUGAAAUUGAUAAAAGCUGGCCCAAAAUUUCAAAUACAUUGGUUGUUUGCAUAAUUAAUUUCCAAUAAAAUAAAAAUAGUUCCCUUUGUAUUUAUUUAAAAUAACUUAAUCGCUUUGAAUAAAACGCUAGAUUAUUAGC